rnacentral:rRNA from 1 species
UACGUAGGGUGCAAGCGUUUGUCCGGAAUUAUUGGGCGUAAAGAGCUCGUAGGCGGUCUGUCGCGUCUGCUGUGAAAACCCGAGGCCCAACCUCGGGCCUGCAGUGGGUACGGGCAGGCUAGAGUGCGGGUAGGGGAGAAUGGAACUCCUGGUGUAGCGGUGGAAUGCGCAGAUAUCAGGAAGAACACCGAUGGCGAAGGCAGUUCUCUGGGCCGUAACUGACGCUGAGGAGCGAAAGC